rnacentral:lncRNA from 1 species
GGGGCUUAGUAUUUUUUAAAAUUUUUAUUUUCUUUUCAAGAUAGCAUGAUUAACUAAUAAUCUAAUUAAGGAAAGUAAAUAAUUAAAGGGAAAAGGGAAUGCAGAAGGGAUAAAUAUGGAUAACUACCGAUCUUACCUUUCGGCGAGGGUUCAAUGUUUUAAGUCUUCUUAACAAGACUUCUCACCUGUUCAUUUUUCAGGUGCGUCAUUUGAUUCAGGUGCGGACCUUGAUGUCUGCACCUCUUGAUACGGUGUCAC